rnacentral:rRNA from 1 species
AUUGAACGCUGGCGGCAGGCCUAACACAUGCAAGUCGAAUGGUAACAGGAAACAGCUUGCUGUUUCGCUGACGAGUGGCGGACGGGUGAGUAAUGUCUGGGAAACUGCCUGAUGGAGGGGGAUAACUACUGGAAACGGUAGCUAAUACCGCAUAACGUCGCAAGACCAAAGAGGGGGACCUUCGGGCCUCUUGCCAUCAGAUGUGCCCAGAUGGGAUUAGCUAGUAGGUGGGGUAACGGCUCACCUAGGCGACGAUCCCUAGCUGGUCUGAGAGGAUGACCAGCCACACUGGAACUGAGACACGGUCCAGACUCCUACGGGAGGCAGCAGUGGGGAAUAUUGCACAAUGGGCGCAAGCCUGAUGCAGCCAUGCCGCGUGUAUGAAGAAGGCCUUCGGGUUGUAAAGUACUUUCAGCGGGGAGGAAGGGAGUAAAGUUAAUACCUUUGCUCAUUGACGUUACCCGCAGAAGAAGCGCCGGCUAACUCCGUG